UACGUAGGUGGCGAGCGUUGUCCGGAAUUACUGGGUGUAAAGGGUGCGUAGGCGGAUUGGCAAGUUGGAUGUGAAAUCUCCGUGCUUAACGCGGAGGUUGCAUUCAAAACUGUUGAUCUUGAGUGAGGCAGAGGCAGGCGGAAUUCCCGGUGUAGCGGUGAAAUGCGUAGAGAUCGGGAGGAACACCAGUGGCGAAGGCGGCCUGCUGGGCCUUAACUGACGCUGAGGCACGAAAGCAUGGGUAGCAAACAGG
rnacentral:rRNA from 1 species